UUUGCGUUUGUUUGUUUGUGUGUGUGUGUGCGUGCGCGCGCGCGCGCGUGGUUCGUUCGUUCUGUCUCCAGGCUAGUGGCUAAGUACUGAGGGCUUCAUCUAUCUAAAAGGAGUUAUUUCCAUCUGAAUUUGGCAGCACCGGGACACAGCAGCAGAGCGAGUCCACAUCCAGAAGACUGGAGCCGUGUUUCACUGACAGGCUGUCAGACGCCCUGAUGAGCUCAGCUGGGACAAACUGGUCUGAUGUUUAGGAACACAGAACGUUCAGAUGUUGGCGUUUCACGUCACCUACUGAGGAAGGAGACCCACCAGUAAAGAGACGGUCUGGACCAGACCAAAAAUAUGACGAUGACAUCAUGGAACUGGUCUUUGGAAAAGUUUUCCCUGAACCAACUCCGUUUCUAGAUGAGGUAGAGAAGAUCUGCAUCUCACCAACUCUCUGGUCUCAGUAUUCAGACAACGGAGGUCUCCCACUGUUGUCCAGGACCAGUUUGAAGCCCACAUACUGCCCCUCCCUCAUCAUCAGGAAACAUCAAUCCGUAUCCUGAGGACAACAGAAGACGGCAGGAGGACAGGAACUCUGAGACCUAGACACCACCAGCACCGAGACACAAAGCACCUGUGUGCACAACGCCUGUUUUAACUACUAAAGCCUGUUUAUUAUAUUGUUCUACUUAUUUGCUGUGAGGUUAAUACUUAGAAAAUUUGUAUAUUAAUGUAAACAAUAAAAAAAAUCACUGAUUGUA